rnacentral:rRNA from 1 species
GAUGAACGCUGGCGGCGUGCUUAACACAUGCAAGUCGAGCGAUGAAGUUUCCUUCGGGAAACGGAUUAGCGGCGGACGGGUGAGUAACACGUGGGUAACCUGCCUCAUAGAGUGGAAUAGCCUUUCGAAAGGAAGAUUAAUACCGCAUAACGUUGAAAGAUGGCAUCAUCAUUUAACCAAAGGAGCAAUCCGCUAUGAGAUGGACCCGCGGCGCAUUAGCUAGUUGGUGGGGUAACGGCCUACCAAGGCGACGAUGCGUAGCCGACCUGAGAGGGUGAUCGGCCACAUUGGGACUGAGACACGGCCCAGACUCCUACGGGAGGCAGCAGUGGGGAAUAUUGCACAAUGGGGGAAACCCUGAUGCAGCAACGCCGCGUGAGUGAUGAAGGUUUUCGGAUCGUAAAGCUCUGUCUUUGGG